AUGUUUACCAAGAAUAAUAUCAGAAUAAUUUUAAUAAAACUUGGUUGUCCUGUCAUCACUAUGCACAUGCCUUCAUUUUAUUGCUUUAUUUUAAUCUCUGCAUGUUUACACUGGUUGGCUCUCUGUCAGCCCAGCCAAAGCAUAUCUGGCCAUUCCACAGAGUGUUUACCACACAGAUUCUGGAUUUUGAAAUGGUAUAGUCACUCCCUUGCCAUCUCUCAAGUUCAGAAGCACCAGGGUUUGAUGCUUCCAAGAGUGCAAACUGUAACUGGGCCUGAGGCAAUUAUUUUAACCAAGGGAAGGGAGAAGAGAUGCAAUGAUAUAAAGUCCUGGGUACUUGCUGGCUGUAAGCAGCACCUGCAAGGCCUUAUAUACUAUACACAGAGGCACUGUAUGGCAGACGCACCUGACAGCAAUAACAAGAUAA
rnacentral:lncRNA from 10 species